ACAGCCAUUUUCUAGAUGUAGUCAAUGGGAUGUGGGUGAAAAUGGUACAGUAAGUGACUGACCUUGAUCAUGGCCGGGAAGAGGUUUAAGAACUCAAGCACUGGAAGUCAUUUUGGACCCUAGGGUGCCAUUUGGACUGAAAACCCUGUAAAGCAGAGCAACAAGACAAGGAAUUUGAGGCUUUGAGACCACAGAGAGGUAACUGCUGUGGCCAUCCCAGGGGCUGUACUGGGAUUCAGAAGAUCCUGGAGGACAGUUCAUAAGAUGUUUUAGAUAGCUCCAUGAUCUGAAAUCUCACAAGGGCUAAUGUAGCCAGAGCAGAGGGCGUUUUGGCUACAGACUGAAAAGGAAGAAAGAAGAAAGACUCAAGAGAAAAUGGGAGGAGGUUUAUGGGAGUGGCUGCCAUCACCCAGGACAUCUGUUUUCUAAAGUAAUACAGAUAUGUUUGGAAAAUGUAUGUGCACGGAAGAAAAGAAAAAUCAAAUAAUCCCACCCGGCUGAGACAAUACUCUCAAUUGUAUCAAGAUUGUGACGUAUUUCAGACCUUUACCACAUCACUCAGAGCAAAACACACUUUGAGGAUGUGACUAAAGUUCCAGCUCUUCAGAUGAGGAAGUUAUCCAGGAUUAACUAAGCCCAGUGUAAUCACAUGAGUUCUUAAAAGCGGAAAAGGAAGAAAGCUGGCAACUUCGUGAGAGAGAAGUGAUAUGAGAGGGUCCUAGCUUGCUAUUGCUGUCUUUGAAGAUGGAAAGAGCAGGUCAUGAGCCAAAGAAUGUAGGCAGCCCUAGAAGCUGGAGAUGGCCUUCAGCUAAUCACUGUACCCAACUGAAUUUUGCCAACAACCUGAAAGAGCAAGAAAAUAGUGACCUCAGAUACAGAACUUUAAAGAAAUGGAUUCUCUCUUGAUGUCUCCAAUAAGGAACAGAACUCUGGUGACACAUUGAUUUUUAACCCUAUAAGACCAGUGUGAGACACCUGGUUGGCAGAAAUAUAUUAGAUAAUAAAUUUGUUUUAAGCCUUGAAAUUAUGGUGAUUUGUUACAGCAGCAACAGAAAACUAAUACACCCUGCAUAGGGUUUGAACCAUUUUGCACUCUCCUCAGCAAGUGGUGAGUCUUUUCCCCCACAUCUUCUCCAAUAGAAUAUGUUGCCGGACUU